rnacentral:lncRNA from 1 species
AUGAUAAGACAUCAGCUAGACCUUUUAACAUUGCUCUGGAGAUGCUGUAGGAGAGCCACCAUUGCCAGCUGUACGUUCACACUGAUUUGGCAGUCUUUAGAUGCUUUCAGUACCCUGGCAAAGCUUUUCUGGUGUUUCUGGAGGAUACGCAUCAUAAUGACAGGAAAAUAAGCCAGAACAAUUUAAGGUAAGAGCUGUGCUGUGACAGGCGGUAAGUAUGAAAGAGAGAUGUAAUAUUCCUCUUUCACCUAUUUUUGUCCUUUUGAGUCUGAAAGCCUACCUUCUGACUGUCUUCAUUAUUUAUCUGCUACUUUAGCCAUUUUUAAAAAUAUGCAAAAUCAACAUUAUAUGCUUAUCUUUUUUUUUUUUUUUUUUUUUUAAUAUGGGGAUAUCAAGUUUAAGUUAAAGCAUUGCACAGAGUCUAACAAGAAAGAAUAUUUCAGUUGACUAAGCAGUGAUAAAAUGGAUAUCUCCCCAGUUUUUAGUCCAUGAGAAGAAAAAAAAAUUGUUUCUCUAUUCUUGGUUUAAGGAUGUGGUACAUUUAGUGAAG